ensembl:lncRNA
AGCAUGUAGAUAAAUGCACUUGAUGAAGAAUCCAUAAGAAUAUUAAUUCCUAAGUUAUCACUCAGUCUAUAUAACCAUUUGUAAAAGAGGAAAAUGUCAUUUCACUGAUUUAGCUGUUCAAGAAUUCUAAUAUUUCUCAUUUUAUAAGAAAAAGUAGAAGAAACAGGUUAGGAAAACUAAACCGAAGUAUGACAGUGCUAGAAGAAACAGAAAUUGUUAAGUAAAUGCUGGAGUUGCAUUUCACAUUGCAUCCCACAUGGUGUUUUGGAGAGCUACCACCCUGAUCUGCCUGCUGGAGAGAAGUUUGUCCUUAACCCAGAGCUUCAAAGUUUGCCAAGACUUGGGGGCUGAGGGCCAGAAACCAACCAGGAGAUGGGGUACCAAGGUAACCUGGAGACAACCCUCCUCCAAUGCACGUGGACACCUCUCCAAUCCAGUAACAUUUUAUUAGGCAUAUUUGAUUAAUCAGGCUUAACCAACAGCACAUUGGGUAGAGGGAAGAGGGGAGGAAGGCAGAGGAAUUCUAGAAGGAAAUUGAGUGAGUUCCGUAUAAUCUGCAAAAGAGUUCCUUCUGGCAGUUUGUGAAACAAGAGAUAUGUGAUGAAGUAACAUUCUAACCAGGACGUUGCACCUUGGCAGCCUGUCUUCUGUCUCUGGGACUUGGGGCAUGUGGGAGAUCCAAGGGGUGGGCUCAGGUGUUCAGGUUCGGGAUGGUGUUGUGGAUUGAAUUGUGUCCCUUAAAAAAAGAUAUCUUGGCAUCUUAGUCCUAACCCCCAGUAAUUCAUAAUAUGACCUUAUUUAGAGAUAAGGUUUUUACAGAGGUAAUUAAGUUAAAAUGAGUUUAUUAGUGUCGUAUUAAUUCAGCAUGCCAGGCGUCCUGAUAAAACGGGGACAUUUGGACACAGACAUGCCCACAGGAAGCACUCCAUAUGAAGAUAAAGGCAGAUGUUGGGAGGCUGUGCCUGCAAGAUGAGGAAAACCAAAGCUUAGCAGCAAACCAUGAGAAGCUGGAGAGAGGCAUGAAACAAAUUCUGCCUAACAGCCUCAGAAGGAACCAGCUCUGCCGACACCUUCAUCUAGGACUUCUAGCCUCCAGAACUGUCAGAGAACACAUUUCCACGGUUUAAGCCAAUCAGUCUGUGGUAGUUUUUGACACCAUCUCUAGCAAACAAAUACAGAGGGUGUCGUGAUAAAAGGCAUGGAUAUUCUCACUGCAUCACCCCACUUUCCUGUUUCCACCAUCCCCACAGCCUGGGCAGGGAGGAAGAGUGAGGUGGAGAGAGGUCAGGGACAAAAUUUGGGGAUCAGGCAUUCCCAGGUCCUCCAAAAUGAGUUUGGGAACCACUUGGCAACUUAGAUUCCUGUGUUUCAAAUAAACAUCUAGAAAUAACAUGACGAGUUCAGAUUUCUGCCUCUUUUCUUGUCAUCUAGUUUUUCUGUUUAUAACAACAAUGGUAAUAUGAAAAGUACAGUUGUAUGAUGUGAUUUGUUGAGGGAGCGGCACAGUUGCACAGGGUAAUUUGUGUGCAGAACACGUAUUAUCCCCACCACCACGGAAUGAAGGGGGUCUCAUUGGGCCCCUUUUGUGAAGCAGCUGACUUGUGUAGGAGGCAGUGACUUGUAUAAGGUAAAUGAUAGAACCACAGUUCAAGUUCAGGACUCUUGACUUGCUUGCAUGUAAGCUCUUGCCUCCUACCUGGAGGAUGAGUGCACCAAGGUCUGGCUGGGAUGGCCCAGAGAGUUCUGAAAGUACAAAUGCCUGAACCAUCCCCAGAGGGGCUGAACUAAUUGGUCUGGAAUGUGGUCUGGGUAGGGGGAGUUUUUGAGUCUUCCAGGUGGAGACCCACAACGGUAGGCAAACCAGCAAAGGAUUUUAGGUUGACAGCAGCCUGGAGAAGUUAGCUUAUUCAGAAGUUCUCAGUGGCUUGUGACAAUCCCCGGGGAAGCCGUUCCUAAAAUACAGAUUCCUGGGCCCUGCCCAGACAUACCAGAUCAGAAUUCCCAGGAGUGGAGUCCAGGAAUCUGUAUUUUACAAAAAGCCCAGAGGUCAUCUGAGGAUCACAUCGGUUUGGGAACUGGACCUAGUCCAUCCACUGUGCCUGUGGGGUGUGUUCUGGAGGGAGUCUAGGCAGUAAAGCACUCUGUUGUCUUCACUUAAAGCCUGUGCUUUAACACCUUACCCAGGAAACAAGGUCAUCUGCUUACUUCAAAGAUUCCAGGGGUAAAUAUAGUGUCACACUAGGAAGGACUCAGGACUCAAGACAGAGUAAACACUUCUUCACUCAGCAGCUGGGUACAACUCCCAGCCACCCAGGAACGCUCAUUUGGAAUUAAACAGAGACUUGCAGAAGUCCCCCAAAGAGCAGCAGUUUCCCAUUCCAUAGACCCACAGAAUACAGCCUUUUUUGAUAUCAUCUGUCUGAGUUCUUCAUUCUGCAAAUGAAGAAGUUGAAGCCAAUGAAGGUAUGGUCGUCUAAUCUCUGUGACGGGCAGAUCUAGGAUGCCCUCUGCAAUGGGCAGCUCCUAGUGCCAGCUGCUGUGUCCUUGUCAUUGUCUCUGUGUGUUUUUGACCCUGGACUCAUCUGGCUGCAAUUCACUGGCCACAUUUGUAGAUACAAUAUCUAUUUUUGAAGUGUUUUGGAAGAGUAAAUGAGAUAGUGAGCAUUAAAAGCACUUUAACACUUUAUAAAAUACUAGUUGUUACUGUUGAAAUGUCAGUUUGCAUUAGGGUGAUAUGGAAACUUAAGAUGGGGCACCAACUUUGAUUUGUACCUGUAAGAAUAGUCAUGUAACAAUGUUGUUUGUGGAUCUGAUUCCCUUUUGCCAGUCAUUUAAAAAUUUCCUAAUGUAAUGCCCUAUACAGUGAGUUAAGCUGAUUAGCUCUCUGUUCUUCUGGAGCUUCAAGCCAAGACAGAAAAUACUGGCAGUGGCAAAGAUGACUGGGCCAUUGGCCAGAGUGGAUCCAUUGAUAAAUCCAUUUUUAUGUCUUGCCCAAGCACUGUGGGAAACUGGAACAGAACUAUGAGACCUAUACUCUGCCAGUGUUCCAAAAAUCAGGACUUAGGCAUUCAUCAUGGCAAAUUUCUGCUGAGUUGGCCAUGUUAAUCUUUGGACAGAUCAGAUGUUUAAGAUCAUAUUCAAUUAUACAGCAAUCAUACAUUGGAAUAUGGGGAACUCAUUAUAAAUUAAGUUGUUGAAUAUUGAAUGACAUGGGAAUUUAUUUAUGACAACUGUUUUAGGUGCAAAAAGCAAGCUGCAACCUGGAAAUGUAUGUGCCAAAUGUUAAGAAUGAGUUUCUAGUGGAAGAAGGAGUGUCUUUUUAUUUUCAUCUUUGUAUCUCUUGACAUUUUUUAAAGAAAUGCUAAUUCUGCCAGAUGAAGUGUCUUGACGGAAGAGAUAACAGCGAAGGUGGGUCUUGAUGGAUGUGUAAGAGUUUGAAAAGGCAGAAGCACCGGGCGCGGUGGCUCAUGCCUAUAAUCCCAGCACUUUGGGAGGCCGAGGCAGGAGGAUCACAAGGUCAGGAGAUUGAGACCAUCCUGGCUAACAUGGUGAAACCCCGUCUCUACUAAAAUACAAAAAAAUUAGCUGGGCAUGGUGGCGGGUGCUUGUAGUCCCAGCUACUCCGGAGGCUGAGGCAGGAGAAUGGCGUGAACCUGGGAGGCGGAGCUUGCAGCGAGCCGAGAUCACGCCACUGCACUCCAGCCUGAGCGACAGAACGAGACUCCAUCUCAAAAAAAAAAAAAAAAAAAAAA